AUGGGCAUCUUGUGUUGCUUCCAGUCCGGCGCCGACAAGCUCCUGGAUCAUGGUCAUGGUGGUGGUGGUGGUCCGGCGGCCGUACCUUCUUCCACAACCAAGAAGCCGCCUCCCCGAGACGCUCCAGCCGUCACCGUCCGCCCCCCUAAUCUGCUGCGACGAGAUGACGAUCAUCAAGAGGAGGAGGGCGCCCGCAGCAGCAGCAACAACAACAACCUUGCCACCCUCGUCGAUGAGAUUGUUGCAGAAUCAGCGACGCACCAGCACAACCGGCGGGUGGCUGACGAGAUCCUGGGGAUGAACAAGGAGGAGGCGGCGGUGACGGCGCGCGCAUUCACAUUCGCCGAGCUCUCGGAGGCCAGCGGCGGGUUCCGGGUGGACUCGAUGCUGGGCGAGGGCGGGUUCGGGCCGGUGUACCGUGGGCGGCUGCGGGACGGCACGGAGGUGGCGGUGAAGCAGCUGGACCGCAACGGGCUGCAGGGCACGCGCGAGUUCCUGGUGGAGGUGCUCAUGCUCAGCCUCCUCAAGCACCCCCACCUCGUCACCCUCAUCGGCUACUGCGCCGACGCCAACCACCGCAUGCUCGUCUACGAGUUCAUGCCCCAGGGCUCCCUCGAGGACCACCUCCUGGACCUGCCGCCGUCGUCCCGGGGGCUCGACUGGGCCAUGCGCAUGCGCAUCGCGCAGGGCGCCGCCCGGGGCCUCGAGUACCUCCACGACGCCUCCCGCCGCCCCGGCCCGCCCGUCAUCUACCGCGACUUCAAGGCCUCCAACAUCCUCCUCGACGGCUGCUUCCGCGCGCACCUCUCCGACUUUGGCCUUGCCAAGGUCGGCCCCGUCGGCGACAAGACCCAUGUCUCCACCAGGGUCAUGGGCACCUACGGCUACUGCGCCCCCGAGUACGCGCUCACGGGCAAGCUCACCACCAUGUCCGACGUCUAUAGCUUCGGCGUCGUCUUCCUCGAGAUCAUCACGGGGCGGCGCGUCAUCGACACGUCCAGGCCCCGUGAUGAGCACAACCUUGUGCAGUGGGCGGCACCGCGCUUCAAGAGCAAGAAGCGCUUCAGGGAGAUGGCCGACCCGCUCCUCCGCGGCGCAUACCCAACCAAGGGGCUCUACCAGGCGCUCGCCAUCUCCGCCAUGUGUCUGCAGGAGGAUGCCACCAUGCGCCCCUCCAUCGCCGACGUUGUCACGGCGCUCGACUACCUCACCGGCGUCGCCAAGCCUUCCCCUCCCUCUCAACAACAGUCGCCUUCCCCUAGCCCUAGCCCUACCCAUCCUCAACAACAGUCGCCUUCCCCUAGCCCUAGCCCUACCCAUCGUCAACAACAGUCGCCGCCCAAGGAGGAGGAUGAUGCCACUGACUAG
rnacentral:rRNA from 1 species